CUUCGGACCUAUUUUGUUGGUUUCUAGGACCGUCGUAAUGAUUAAUAGGGACAGUUGGGGCCGUUCAUAUUCCGUAGUCAGAGGUGAAAUUCUUGGAUUUACGGAAGAUGAACUACUGCGAAAGCAUUCGGCAAGGAUGUUUUCGUUAAUCAAGAACGAAAGUUAGGGGAUCGAAGACGAUCAGAUACCGUCGUAGUCUUAACCAUAAACUAUGCCGACUCGGGAUCGGUGGGCGUUGUUUACGACCCCAUCGGCACCGUGUGAGAAAUCAAAGUCUUUGGGUUCCGGGGGGAGUAUGGUCGCAAGGCUGAAACUUAAAGGAAUUGACGGAAGGGCACCACCAGGAGUGGAGCCUGCGGCUUAAUUUGACUCAACACGGGGAAACUCACC
rnacentral:rRNA from 1 species